UACGGAGGGUGCGAGCGUUGUCCGGAAUCACUGGGCGUAAAGGGCGCGUAGGCGGUGUGUCAAGUCAGGCGUGAAAGCCCCGGGCUCAACCUGGGAACAGCGCUUGAGACUGGCACGCUCGAGUUCGGGAGAGGAUGGUGGAAUUCCCAGUGUAGAGGUGAAAUUCGUAGAUAUUGGGAAGAACACCGAUGGCGAAGGCAGCCAUCUGGACCGACACUGACGCUGAGGCGCGAAAGCGUGGGGAGCAAACAGG
rnacentral:rRNA from 1 species